rnacentral:snRNA from 1 species
AGCUAGAGGUGUCAGAAAAGUUACCA